AGAGUUUGAUCCUGGCUCAGAAUCAACGCUGGCGGCGCGCUUAACACAUGCAAGUCGCACGAGAAAGCCGGAGCAACCUGGUGAGUACAGUGGCGUACGGGUGAGUAACACGUGGAUCAUCUGCCUCUUGGUGGGGAAUAACCCUGGGAAACCGGGGCUAAUACCGCAUAAGCCUGCAAAGGGAAAGCAGCAAUGCGCCGAGAGAGGAGUCCGCGGCCGAUUAGCUAGUUGGUAGGGUAAUGGCCUACCAAGGCAAUGAUCGGUAGCCGGCCUGAGAGGGCACACGGCCACACUGGCACUGAAACACGGGCCAGACUCCUACGGGAGGCAGCAGUGGGGAAUCUUGCACAAUGGAGGAAACUCUGAUGCAGCGACGCCGCGUGAGUGAUGAAGCCCUUCGGGGUGUAAAGCUCUUUCGACGGGAACGAUAAUGACGGUACCCGGAGAAGAAGCUGCGGCUAACUACGUGCCAGCAGCCGCGGUAAUACGUAGGCAGCAAGCGUUGUUCGGAAUUACUGGGCGUAAAGAGUGUGUAGGCGGUUCUCUAAGUUCGGUGUGAAAUCUCCCGGCUUAACUGGGAGGGUGCGCCGGAAACUGGAGGGCUUGAGUAUGGGAGAGGAAAGCGGAAUUCCUGGUGUAGCGGUGAAAUGCGUAGAUAUCAGGAGGAACACCUGCGGUGUAGACGGCUUUCUGGACCAUCACUGACGCUGAGACACGAAAGCGUGGGUAGCAAACAGGAUUAGAUACCCUGGUAGUCCACGCCCUAAACGAUGCAUACUUGGUGUGAGCCGUUCAUUCGGUUCGUGCCGGAGCUAACGCGUUAAGUAUGCCGCCUGGGGAGUACGGUCGCAAGGCUGAAACUCAAGGAAUUGACGGGGGCCCGCACAAGCGGUGGAGCAUGUGGUUUAAUUCGACGCAACGCGAAGAACCUUACCUGGGCUCGAACGGCUUCGGAUCAGUCGUGAAACACGGCU
rnacentral:rRNA from 1 species